CCUUCGGGAGGCAGCAGUGGGGAAUAUUGCACAAUGGGGGAAACCCUGAUGCAGCGACGCCGCGUGAGUGAAGAAGUAUUUCGGUAUGUAAAGCUCUAUCAGCAGGAACGAGACAAGACGGUACCUGACUAAGAAGCCCCGGCUAACUACGUGCCAGCAGCCGCGGUAAUACGUAGGGGGCACGCGUUAUCCGGAAUCACUGGGUGUAAAGGGAGCGUAGACGGCUGUGCAAGCCUGAGGUGAAAGGCGGGGGCCCAACCGUUGGACUGCAUUGGAAACUGGACGGCUGGAGUGCAGGUGAGGUAAGUGGAAUUCCUGGUGUAGCGGUGAAAUGCGUAGAUAUUAGGAAGAACACCAGUGGCGAAGGCGGCUUACUAGACUGUAACUGACAUUGAGGCUCGAAAGCGUGGGGAGCAAACAGGAUUAGAUACCCGGGUAGUC
rnacentral:rRNA from 1 species